ensembl:snRNA U6 U6 spliceosomal RNA
GUGCUUGUUUCAUCAGCACUAAAAUUGGAAUAACACAGAGAAAAUUAGUAUGGCCAUUGUGCAAGCAACACACAAAUUCAUGAAGCGUUCCAUAUUUUU